AGAUGGUUGUGGACAGUAACCUCUUUUAUAGGGAAGAAUUCUGACGGUACCUAUUGAAUAAGCAUCGGCUAACUCCGUGCCAGCAGCCGCGGUAAUACGGAGGAUGCAAGCGUUAUCCGGAAUUAUUGGGCGUAAAGCGUCCGCAGGUGGUUAGUCAAGUCAGCUGUAAAAGACUCAGGCUUAACUUGGGAUGUGCAGUUGAAACUGAUUGACUAGAGUACGGUAGGGGUAGAGGGAAUUCCUAGUGUAGCGGUGAAAUGCGUAGAUAUUAGGAAGAACACCAGUGGCGAAGGCGCUCUACUGGGCCUGUACUGACACUGAGGGACGAAAGCUAGGGGAG
rnacentral:rRNA from 1 species